UACGAAGGGUGCAAGCGUUAUCCGGAAUUACUGGGCGUAAAGCGCGUGUAGGUGGUUCGUUAAGUCUGAUGUGAAAGCCCUGGGCUCAACCUUGGAAUGGCAUUGGAAACUGGCGACCUAGAGUGCGGUAGAGGGUAGUGGAAUUCCCGGUGUAGCAGUGAAAUGCGUAGAGAUCGGGAGGAACAUCUGUGGCGAAGGCGACUGCCUGGACCAGCACUGACACUGAGGCACGAAAGCGUGGGGAGCAAACAGG
rnacentral:rRNA from 1 species